rnacentral:rRNA from 1 species
UGGGGAAUAUUGGGCAAUGGGCGCAAGCCUGACCCAGCAACGCCGCGUGAAGGAAGAAGGCCCUCGGGUUGUAAACUUCUUUUAACAGGGACGAAGAAAGUGACGGUACCUGUUGAAUAAGCCACGGCUAACUACGUGCCAGCAGCCGCGGUAAUACGUAGGUGGCAAGCGUUGUCCGGAUUUACUGGGUGUAAAGGGCGUGCAGCCGGAGAGGCAAGUCAGAUGUGAAAUCCGCGGGCUCAACCCGCGAACUGCAUUUGAAACUGCUUCCCUUGAGUAUCGGAGAGGUAACCGGAAUUCCUAGUGUAGCGGUGAAAUGCGUAGAUAUUAGGAAGAACACCAGUGGCGAAGGCGGGUUACUGGACGACAACUGACGGUGAGGCGCGAAAGCGUGGGGAGCAAACAGGAUUAGAUACC